rnacentral:rRNA from 1 species
GAUGAACGCUGGCGGCGUGCCUAAUACAUGCAAGUCGAGCGAACGGACGAGAAGCUUGCUUCUCUGAUGUUAGCGGCGGACGGGUGAGUAACACGUGGAUAACCUACCUAUAUGACUGGGAUAACUUCGGGAAACCGGAGCUAAUACCGGAUGAUAUUUUGAACCGCAUGGUUCAAAAGUGAAAGACGGUCUUGCUGUCACUUAUAGCUGGAUCCGCGCUGCUUUAGCUAGUUGGUAAGGUAACGGCUUACCAAGGCAACGAUGCAUAGCCGACCUGAGAGGGUGAUCGGCCACACGGGAACGUGGACACGGUCCAGACUCCUACGGGAGGCAGCAGUAGGGAAUGUUCCGCAGUGGGCGAAAGCCUGGCGGAGCAACGCCGCGUGAGUGAUGAAGGUCUUCGGAUCGUAAAACUCUGUUAUUAGUGAUGAACAUAUGUGUAAGUAACUGUGCACAUCUUGACGGUACCUAAUCAGAAAGCCACGGCUAACUACGUG